CCUGCAGUUGAUGUUUGAUUUUUAAACAUAGCGAACGGGUGAGUAACGCGUGAAUUAUCUACCUUUUAAUUCAGAAUAAUUAUUUUAUAUAAAAAUACUGAAUAAAUAAAUUAAAGUUAUAAAACGUUAAAAGAUGAGUUUGCGUAAGAUUAGGUAGUUGGUAGUUUAAAAGACUACCAAGCCGACUAUCUUUAGCUGGUUUGAAAGAAUGAUCAGCCACAUUGGGACUGAGACACGGCCCAAACUUUUUUAAAGGCAGCAGUGAGGAAUUUUGGACAAUGAGCGAAAGCUUGAUCCAGCAAUACCAAGUGAGUGAAGAAGGCUAAUUAGGUUGUAAAGCUCUUUCAUUAAGGAGGAAAAUGACAGUACUUAAAAAAGAAGUUCCGGCUAAUACCCGUGCCAGCAGCCGCGGUAAUACGGGAGGAGCGAGCAUUAUUCGGAAUGAUUAGGCGUAAAGGGUUUGUAGGUGGUUUUUUAAGUUGAAAAAAACAAAUUAAAGCUUAACUUUAUAAAUUUUUUCAAAACUGAGAAACUUGAGUAUAAAUAGAGGAUAAUGGAAUUUCUAUUGGAGGGAUAAAAUAUGUUGAUAAUAGAAGGAAGACCUAAAGCGAAGGCAAUUAUCUGGGUAUAUACUGACACUGAGAAACGAAAGCUUGGGGAGCGAACAGGAUUAGAGACCCUGGUAGUCCAUGCUGUAAACGAUGAGUGCUCAUAUUUAGAUUUUUUAGAUAUCAAGCUAACGCGUUAAGCACUCCGCCUGAAAAGUAUAAUCGCAAGAUCGAAAUUCAAAGGAAUUGACGGGAGCCUACACAAGCGGUGGUGCAUGUGGUUUAAUUCGAUAAUACGCGCA
rnacentral:rRNA from 1 species